rnacentral:antisense_RNA from 1 species
CCUUACGGGCGGGCCGUGGCGGGGGAGCCCUCGGGCUCGCCGGUCCUUGCAUCCGGUCUGUCAACCCUGCUUCGUGCUCGCCCACCCGA